rnacentral:rRNA from 1 species
UUAAAAAGCUCGUAGUUGAACCUUGGGCCUAGCCGGCCGGUCCGCCUCACCGCGUGCACUGGCUCGGUUGGGCCUUUCCUUCUGGAGAACCCCAUGCCCUUCACUGGGUGUGGUGGGGAACCAGGACUUUUACUCUGAACAAAUUAGAUCGCUUAAAGAAGGCCUAUGCUCGAAUAUAUUAGCAUGGAAUAAUAGAAUAGGACGUGUGGUUCUAUUUUGUUGGUUUCUAGGACCGCCGUAAUGAUUAAUAGGGACAGUCGGGGG